rnacentral:rRNA from 1 species
UACGUAGGUGGCAAGCGUUGUCCGGAUUUACUGGGCGUAAAGGAUGCGUAGGCGGACAUUUAAGUCAGAUGUGAAAUACCCGAGCUUAACUUGGGUGCUGCAUUUGAAACUGGGUGUCUAGAGUGCAGGAGAGGUAAGUGGAAUUCCUAGUGUAGCGGUGAAAUGCGUAGAGAUUAGGAAGAACACCAGUGGCGAAGGCGACUUACUGGACUGGUAUUGACGCUGAGGUGCGAAAGCGUGGGGAGCAAACAGG